CUGAGCCUUCUUUUCUCCAGGCUGAACAACCUCAGUUCCCUCAGCCCAGUUCCCUUCCCCAGCUCCGUCGCCCUUCUCUGGACCUGCUCCAGCACCUCAAUGUCUUUCUUGUACUAGGGGGCACAGAACUGAACACAGGAUUCAAAUCCUGAUUGUCUUAGGGAAUUAUGUUGCUAAUGUCUGUUUCUCACAUCUCGCCCAUCCUCAGAAGACUGACACACACGCUUAGAUGGUUUGUCGUUAGAUGGGUAUUUGCCUUUUUGGCAGACUCCAAUUGGAGUCUUUUGGCACACCCCUCAUUUCUCUUAGAGAAAUUAAGCUUUUGUAUGUUUUGCUUGUCUUUUAACUAGAGUCCUUAAAACUUUUUCAUUAUUUGAGGCUAAAACAAAAUACAUCUUAAAUGUUAUCUCUAUGUGGGUGACAGAUUUCGUUAUGCUUCCCAGUUCCCCCUGUGAUUUCAGUUGAACACCUUUAUCUUCAGCUUUUGUUGUAAGCUGCUGCACACCAUUUAACAGUUGUUGAAUUUCACUUGAGAGGCAGCUGCAUAUUAGUGGUAAGUAGCCCAAUUCUUGUAAGGUACUUUAUGUUCCUUUAAGGUGAAGGAUACUACAUAAAUAUAAACCAUCAAUCUGUUCAAGUACCUUUGCUUUGGACAUGCUGCUUGUAUUUUUUUUUAGUCUCCACAGGUAUGCAGAAAAUGUGUUCUACAGAUGCAUCUAUUCUAUGUGUGAAUUAUCAAGGAAGACUUGAAGUAAAAUGGAAAAUAACAUUUUCUGGUCAUUUACCUCAAAUAUAGCUGUUUUAUGAAAUUUUGUUGAAAGUAAUUGAAUGAUUUCUGAAUGCCUGUUGGCUAAUUAAACCUAUAGGAAAAACCAGAAAUUAAAUGGAUAUACAAUCAAGCUCUGAGCUUUCACAAUACUGCUUAUUCUAAAGCCCAAUAAAAUACUGCAUGCAUAUUAAAAAUAAUGAACAUGAUAUGCCACCACGAAAGCUGUUUACUUUUAUGGGAGAUCAAUCUGUGUCUUGGCUUCAGGUAUGAUCUGUAGAACAGCUUUGAUGAGAUGCUGCUCACAGCCCAAAUGAUGUUUGUGUGGUUUGUUCAUUUUCAACUAAAUUCAUAUAAUCACAGAAUGGUUUGGGUUUGAAAGGAUCUUAAGAUCAUCCAGUUCCAACCCUGCUGCCAUGCGCAGGGAUGCCUCACACUAGACCAUGUCUCCCAAGGCUCCUUGAACGCUGCCAGGGAUGGAUCAUUUACCACUUCUUUGGGCAACCUGUUCCAGUGCCUCACCACCCUCACAGUAAAGAAUUGAAUUGAUUUUCCCAGUUUUGUAGACAUAGCUAUGAAUUUAUUUUGAGUUUUCACAGUUGUGAGAAAGAUGUUCUGUUACUGUAAGAACAUUCGGUUUGGACAUGAGAGUAGUAAAGCAACUUAUGCUUGCUUGCGUGUUUAUGGUUUUAGAAUAUUGUUUUAUUCAGGAUCAGCUUGACACCAACUUGCCUGACAGAGUGCUAGAAAAAGAUGCUAGUAUCAUCUCCUGCAGAGAUGAAAUUCCAUUUAAAACUCUGAAGUCUGUAGUAAGUUCAACCAGAGGUAGGUUACUGAUGUGUAUCAGAGUGAAAAUGAAAGACUUUUCUACAAUAUUCUGCUGGGAUGUGACUCUACAUCCCUAACGAAUAGGUGUGCUUUGGCUGAUGGUGAAUUGAUGGUGCCACAUCAACCAGGUGUGGAAUUGAGAUAUUUACUGUCUAAAGUGGUUUCACAAAUAAUGUUUGUUCCUCCAGCCUUCAGUCAGGUGGCAUAAAGACCCCAUCUGUUUCAUUGGCUUUCCACCUUACCUCCCCAUUUCCUUCCACUCCUCUCAUGAUCUGUUCAUGUGUGCUAUCUUCUUCAUUUAGGAGCUGUAACCCUGCUGACCAUGUCAGUCUUACACCCUGUCAGGAACCUGCUACAUGCAAAUGAUCUUCACGCUCUUAGUAUCUUUACCCUAACGGUUAUAGAGCAUGUGUUUCACACAGGAGAAAUGAGGUGAGCACCAGUUCAGAGAGGAUGAAUAGCAAUGGAGCCGAGAAAGCCUGGGUGAGCAGUGGUACUAUGCAGCAGCAUGUUCUGCUGACACUUUCUGCUAAAGCAUGCAAAUGGAAAUUUUUAGAUGGAUUUUGGAAGAAAAGUUGUUUUCAAAAAGCCAACCAUGGAGUGAAAUAGUCAUUAACAGGGAACCUGUGGGGUUUUGACCUUCCAAAUACUAAAAAUAAUAUAUAUAUCUGUCUUUCACAGGAGAAUCCCUUCAAGGAAAGGAUUGUGGAGUCUUUCUCAGAAGAUGGAGAGGGGAGCCUCAGCUUCAAUGACUUUGUGGAUAUGUUCUCUGUGCUCAGUGAAAUGGCUCCCAGAGAGCUUAAAGCAAUCUAUGCCUUCAAGAUCUAUGAUUUUAACACAGACAACUUCAUUUGUAAAUCAGACUUGGAAAAGACCCUCAAUAAGCUGACCCGAGAAGAGCUAACAGCAGAAGAGAUCACCCUGGUUUGCGAGAAAGUAAUAGAAGAAGCUGACAUGGAUGGUGAUGGGAAACUCGGAUUUGCAGAUUUUGAAAACAUGAUUUCCAAAGCACCAGACUUCCUCAGUACUUUCCACAUAAGAAUCUGAAGAUGUUUCUGUGAGCCAGUGUUAUCAGAAAUGACUUGCCAGUCCAGCCUUUCUGAAUCUCAGGCACUUUGGGGGCUUUUGUCCUCUAAUUAUGGCUUCUUAGAACUCAGCAGAAAGUACUGAAAUAAUUCUGGUCCACAAAGAGACAGAAGCACCAUGUGAUCCACAGGAUGUUUGGAACAGUCACAUUUUUAUCUCCACUGCUGGCCAAGCACUUUGGCGAGGAUGGUUGGUUGUUGGGUUGUGGGUUUUCUUUUUUUUUUCCCUGUCUCUUUUUUUAAACAGGCAGAAUCAGAAUAUUGUUAAAGGUGUUUCCACGUAGUUUUUAUAUUUAUGAAUAUUUAAUACUGCUCUUAAAAGUGCAAAAAAUAAAAAAAAGGACAGAAAGAUUAGCUUUGAUGGCUUUUCCAAAAGUAUUUGAAAGAAAGCAAGGGCCUUAAGUAAUGAGACGCCUCUAUCACUGUGUUGUAUGGCUGGGGAUCUUGCAUGGAAAUUAUCUUAGGUGAAAGAACUGCAGUCAAGAUCAAGCUCCCAGUGUUGAAGACAACCACAUCCCAGGUUUGCCUUUCAGUCCCUGAAAUGGCAGUUGCUGGGUUUGGUGCUUACCUUCAACCAAUAUUUUAUGGAUUGUCACGUCCUUAUGAAACUUGAAAUAUUUGCCUUUUGUAUAUGGUAACUGUAUACACAAUUCCUUUCUUCCCAAGAUAAAUGUUAAAACUGUGUCCUUAUUCCCAAAAGGGGUCCUGCAUUUUACUCAUUCUAUGGGCUGAUAAUGUUGAAUGGAAGAAUCUGAUCGUCUGUAACUCACGAAGAAGUUAAAGAAGCACAGAAAUACUACUAAGGACAUGAAAAGACAUUUUCUUUCUAAACCAGCUAUGCAAUCUUUCCCAUAAAAUGCAUGAAUGCAGCUCUAUCUUUCUCUUCCCUCUCCAGCUGGAAAUCAGCUAGAUUUUUCUUUCUUUUUGUUAGUUCCAGUAUUGUUUAGGUACUGGGGCCUGAAGACAAUCAUAUGUGUAUUACUGUUCUAACAGUCAAUAGAAGGGCUCUGUCACUUACAUGGCUUCUGUAUCAAAGUCAUCACAAUUAAAACUUUUGAUGCAUUCUGUCGUGCUUUGGGAAUUCUUGGGCUAAGCACAUACUAAUUUCCUUUCUGGUCAUUAUUCCAAUAACUGUAAAAUUGAAUCUUUCCAAGGAUGAAACAUGUUAUUCUUAUUGAAAACAUUGUUAAAUUAGAGGCAAUAAUCUUUUUACCAUUUCUGUUGGGAUACUGCUGCUUUACCUUGGAUCCCUUUAUCUAUGGAGAGCUUGCAGUGCAGCUUGCUGUUCAAAUUUAUGUAGUAUGCACAAGAAGAAAUGCUUAUCAGUGUGGUUGUUCAUUAAAAGUGUUGAUGGAAAUUGUGGAUGUUCAAGGUAUACAGGACAUCUUGUCUGAGGUAGCAGAGUGAAAAUGAAACUUGUAUGUUAACAAUUAGUUUUAUUUUAAAUGUAUUUUUGAGGAUGAUCUUAUUAAGUGUUAUUUGUAGCAUUUUAAUACUUCCUCCUACUGGCUUCUGUUCAGAUAAAGGAAUUAGAGCCUGACUUCCCUUUGAUGUAUUUACCCAAGUUAAAAUCAGCAUAAAUCAAUCCUGAUACUCAGUUCUGAUUGAGUAAGAAGAGAUUCAAGCCUCAAUCCUUUUCAUUUUUAGCAGAUUAAGUUAGAGGUAUUGGUUGGUUCAAACAAUUUGCAAGACAUUGGCAUUAAGAGAGAUUAUGCUAAAAAUUACUUACUAUUCCUCAAAACACCAGCCUAAUAGUUUUUUAUUCCUUUCAAGACAGACAUUUAAUCUUGAAGGCCUCAUGAGAUGUGUUUUUCUGACACAAUUAGUAUGUAUUGUGAAAUACCAGGUUGCAAGAUUGUGGAUCAGAUGAUUCAGACAAAAAGGAUCCAGUGCUGAUGAAAUAGGUCACUUCCUUUUGAUACUAGGCUUCUUAUUCUAUGUUUUAAAACUUCUUUUAGCUAAAAUUCUUUCCUUCCUCACACUGUGUUGUUCCACGAUUAAAUCCUCCUCUUCACUUAAAGGAAGACCUCAGUUGCCUUGGGACUACUCAGUGUAUUGUUUCCUUGUCCUCCCUGACCUGAAAAGCAGUCAAAGAGACACUUGGGCUUGCAGGCAGGUAUUUAACCCUUGAGUCAUCCUACUAGGCUGAGAAACAAAGAGAAAAAGAAAUCAGGAGCACCCUGUGAAGGAAUAUUCCUGCCCACGGUUAAAGAAUACUGCAGAUACAAAUUAUGCAAUUGUCUUAACUCCCUUUAUUUUCUUGAUUUAUGUUCAUCUUCUCUAACAAAAACCCAAUCAACGUACUAUGUUCCUGGAGUUUGAGAGAGAGAUGUACUCCAAAUGCUUCUGGAGCAAAAUGAUCCUAUCCAGCAGUAGGUAAGUUGUUAUACCACUUGAUGGCGAAGGUGAGGGAUAGAUUUCUAAAGAAGCUUUGUAUUUGUGGUUUCUUAGUUGUCUGUAGUUGGAUGUAUUAGGACUGAAACUUUUGUUAUAGCAAGAGUGUUGAGUGAAUUAGGAGUGCAGCAUGAUGGAUUUACUAACUAGCAAGUGUUUCUUCAACCAGCUUAUUUAUUCAAAAGGAACUAUCAUGCUAUUGAGGAAGAAACUGAAAUAGUAAAAGAGAUUUAAAACAAUGUUGGAUGUGGCCUAAAAACAAGAGGAUAUAGAUUUUGUAUUGCAGAAAAGGUUUUGAAUAUGAAUGGACAUUUCUUUAUCUGCCUUCAAAAAUAGUCCAAGUAUUACCUAAAGCCUCUAUUAAAAUAGCUAAGAGUGUGUGUGUGUUAUCUCCAGCUUAUAUACAUUCAAAGCAAUUUAGGGACAAAAAGAAGUGGUGGAAGUGAAUAAAACAGUGUCAAAGAGCAAGUAACAACCAUGUUAUUUAUUAAUGCAGUUUAGUUUAUCAUUGUUUUAAGGGAAUACUAUAAGCCAAGACUUAUAACAGCCUGCAGGCCAAAACCUGAUCUUCAUUACUUCUGUAUUAAUCUGCAGUAACUCUGCUGAAUUCAGUGGAAUUAGCUCGUAUUUCUGUAAUUGGAUCUGCAUUGAGGAAAACAGUUGGGUUUUUGCUACAGUUCUUUGUGCUCUCUCAUGCCCUUUUAAUGUAAUCUUAAAAUGCUGAAUGCUCUUUUGUUAGUCAAUAACCACCUGGUCCUCUUUGCCAGCAGGCUCAGGGUUGGAAUCUCUUGCAAUUUCUCCCAAUCAUAUAGAAACAGUCUCCUUUCUUUUUCCCCUAGGGCUUACUUUUAUCUCCGUGUACACGUUAGAGGCACUUCUGACGCAGCAUCACAAGGUGGCACCAUAACAUCGAAUCAGGUCAUAACUUCAUUUCACUGGUUCCAUUUCCCUGAGCUAUAGGGAACUGUAUAGGAUCUGUGAUGCCACAAGCAAAAACAAGAAAGCUGUGGUGAAUUACUGAUUUUAGAACUGUAGAUAAUUACAUGGGAAGUUUCAUAUUUGAUCAGACUCAUGAAUUGAAAUCGUACAAGGGGCAAAAACUAAAUACUUUUGAAACAGGACAUGAAAACUUAUUGAUUUUAUAGAAUAAUUUGUGUACAUGAGAACUUUUUUCCUUGAUGCAUACCCCAGCUGGAUUGUGACCAGUAUAAUGACAAUACUCCUUUAUAGUGUUUUCAGCUGUGUCAAACACAGAUAUUGUAAUUUUCCGUAGUUACUCAUUUGCUUUUGGGUGAUGUUGGUCUCAGUAAUAUCUGGUAUUAAUCAGAAUAAUGGUUGUUGGGUUUUUUCCCCCUUUCAUGAGUUAAUACGUGUUAAAUUCCAUCUGUUCAGUUUUGCUGUCUUUCAGUCUCUGGGUAUUUUUUCGUUGUUUUUUCCUUACGCAAUAGUAGUGCCUUAUGGUGUUUUGCUUGUAAAAAUCACUCUUUCAUAUCAUCUGUCAUGUGCUUUCUAGAAAUCUGGUGGCUGCAGCUGCUGCAGAUAAUAGCAAAUGUUGGUUUAUAAAAAGUUUUCUUAUCGUCUGUCUUAUCCUUUGUAAGUUAUGCUGGCUUGUUCCCUAUAGAACAGGGACAAACACUUAAGUUGAAGUAUUUAUAGGUGGUCUGUGGAAUUUAUAUCUUUUCUUGGUGUAAGAAAACACCAGGAUGGAUUAAUUCAACUUGUAUCAUUUUAGAUACGCAUUAUCUGAUGUGCUGAAGUUUCUCUACCAUAAUGUUUUGUGUUGACAAUUUCUAUAUUUGAUUGCUGUGAAACGUCUCCAUCUCAGAUGACCCAUAUGUUUCAUCUUCAGUGGAGCUUAGGCACAGGCCUAAUGUUCAGAACAGUGAAUAGAUGUGUUUCUUUGAAUUAAGGUCAAACUCUCAGUUACGGCUGUCUUGUAGAGAUGUUAAUAACACCAAGUGACUAUCAAAUUCUCUUUGGUGGGGAAAAGAAAGAGACUGUUCUUGGUAGAAUUAAGAGAGCAUCAGUAUUACAGAUGCAGGACCAGUGACAAGCCACAUGCGUCAGCCUUUGCAUGCUAUGCUGUUGCAACAAUUUGCUAGCAACUGUUCCUGAUAGAAUGAUUCAUCCCAUGUGACUCAUUUUCAACUGCAGGCCACAGUUCUUUAUUCCGACCUGCAUUCAUCUGCUCUGCCAAUGAAUAGGCAGAAGUCAUGGAGGGAGGAACCUUUCCCAUCAUCCAGUGAACUGAUGCCAGAAGUGAGCCUGUCUGCGGCGAGUGAACAGCAAGCAGAAGGGGCACUUUGGAAUAACAAAGAAUGGGCACGUUUGCAUCUUUGGUGAACAAUCUGAAUGAAGCGGAUCCAUUUCUCAGUAAAGGUCAUGCUUAGUAGUGGCUACAGGGAGUUGCUGAGUACAGGUGCUUGCUCUGCCAUUCUGCAGUUUGAAGAUCUCUAACUGGGAAAUAUCUUUCUGUGGUGGCCUGUCUUGGUUUCUGUAACACUAAGACGGUGCAGAAAACAAUCUGUGGAUCUACACAAGGAACAGAAUACAUGAAAAACCAGGGUCAGGAUAAGUGUGUGUUACUGCCAGAUGACUCUUCAACACCUCCUUCUUUCCUACUCUAAGAAAAUCUGACUGAUUAUCAAAAGCGAUUUUGAGCAUCCCUCCAGUGAAUGUUCGGGGUUCAUCUUUAAAGUAGGUGACAUCUGGAGAGGAGGACUCGAAGUAUUCUGCAAUCCCUUAUCUCAACACCACAAUGAAACCCAUGGACAACCACACUGAAUACUCAGGUGCUUCAUAUCCUUUACAUCCUUUAGCAUAGAAUGAAAGUUUUGUCUGGCAGAUGAGACAGUUACUUUUCAUUGAGAAAUUAAUCAGGGCAUUUAAAAAUGAGGACAGAGUGAGUAAGAAGCUCUGGGAGAUUUAGGAUGUCUGGAUAAAUUGAACUUUCCAAUUGUCAGAAUUCAAUCACAUGAAUCUAGUUCAUAAACAGCAUAAUCCUAAUAAAAAUGCCACUGCAAAUAUCAGCUCCAACAACUAUAUUGACAUUAAACCUUUUGUGUAAACCUUUUAAGGUUGAGAAUGAAAAGUUGAAUGCCAUUAAACAUGGAACUGUGUCCCCCCAUUUUUGGGUGGUUAUGCCA